GUUGAACGCUGGCGGCAGGCCUAACACAUGCCAGUCGAACGGUAAGAGCAAGCAUUGUUCUGCUUUUCGAACGACGGGCGGACGGGUGAGAAGUGGCUGGGAUACUGCGCGAUUGAGGGUGAGAACGAGUGGAAAGGGUAGCUAAUGGCUCAGAACGUCGCAAGACUGGAGAGGGGGAACUUAGUUCCGCUUGGCAACGGACGUGCGCAGGUUGGGUUAGUUGGUGGGUGGGGUAACGACUGACCUGGGCGACGAUGCCUAGCUGGUCUGAGAGGAUGACCAGCCCCACUGGAACUGAGACACGGUCCAGACUCCUGAGGGAGGCCGCAGUCGGGAAUAUUGCACAAUGGGGGAAAAUCUGACGCAGCGCGGCCGCGUGUAGGAAGGAGGCCUUCGGGUUGUAAAGUACUUUCAGGGGGGAGGAAGCGAGUACAGUUAAUACAUUUGCUUAUUGACGUUACCCGCAGAAGAAGCACCGGCUAACUCCGUG
rnacentral:rRNA from 1 species